GACAGAGGAGGCGAGCGUUAUCCGGCAUUAUUGGGCGUAAAGGGCACGCGGGCGGAUGGUUAAGUCUGGGGUUCAAGACCACAGCUCAACCGUGGGGGGGCCUUGGAGACUGACGGACUGGAGUGCGGCAGGGGUUGGGGGAAUUCCCGGUGUAGCGGUGAAAUGCGUAGAUAUUGGGAAGAACACCAGAGGCGAAGGCGAGCAGCUGGUCCCUAACUGACGCUGAGGUGCGAAAGCGAGGGGAGCUAAGGGG
rnacentral:rRNA from 1 species